GACGGAGGAUGCAAGCGUUAUCCGGAAUGAUUGGGCGUAAAGCGUCCGCAGGUGGCAGUUCAAGUCUGCUGUUAAAGACCGGGGCUUAACUUCGGAAAGGCAGUGGAAACUGAACAGCUAGAGUAUGGUAGGGGCAGAGGGAAUUCCUGGUGUAGCGGUGAAAUGCGUAGAGAUCAGGAAGAACAUCGGUGGCGAAGGCGCUCUGCUGGACCAUAACUGACACUCAGGGACGAAAGCUAGGGAGCGAAUGGG
rnacentral:rRNA from 1 species